rnacentral:tRNA from 1 species
GCUUGGGUGGCUCAGUCAGUUAAGCAUCUGACUUUGACUCAGAUCAUGAUCCUGUGGUUCAUGAGUUCAAGUCCCACACCAGGUG